rnacentral:rRNA from 1 species
AACGAACGCUGGCGGCAGGCCUAACACAUGCAAGUCGAGCGGGGAGCAAUCCCUAGCGGCGGACGGGUUAGUAACGCGUGGGAACAUACCCUUUGGUACGGAAUAGCCUCGGGAAACUGAGAGUAAUACCGUAUGUGCCCUUCGGGGAAGAUUAUCGCCAAAGGAUUGGCCGCGUUGGAUUAGGUAGUUGGUGGGGUAAUGGCCUACCAAGCCUACGAUCCAUAGCUGGUUUGAGAGGAUGAUCAGCAACACUGGGACUGAGACACGGCCCAGACUCCUACGGGAGGCAGCAGUGGGGAAUCUUAGACAAUGGGCGCAAGCCUGAUCUAGCCAUGCCGCGUGAGCGAUGAAGGCCUUAGGGUUGUAAGACUCUUUCAGAUGGGAAGAUAAUGACGGUACCAUCAGAAGAAGCCCCGGCCUAACUCCGUGCCAGCAGCCGCGGUAAAGUGACUACUG